rnacentral:ncRNA from 2 species
GCUUCCGAGGAGCGUUGCGACGGGCAAUCCGCAAGACGGGCAAUCCGCAAGACACCCGCCAGGCUCGGAAGCAUUCAAUCCGGACGGUUCGAACGUGCUUUUAGUCAUGAAAGGCGCCCGCUGAGCCACCGCAUUCGAACGGCGCUCACGUCAA